rnacentral:lncRNA from 1 species
AUUCUUCCAAUCACAUAUUCCUUGGACUUAUCGUUUAAGCAUAUAACAUUUAUAUGAGACGGCUCAAACAAUAAUCUUUGCCCUUUAUAUUAAACUAGAUUAGUUUAACAUGUGAAAUGUCCGUAAAGUAUCAUCACAUGAUUGGUUUUAGGGCACAUUUCCAACAGCAUCUAAGUAGUAGCAUUCCAUUCAUGAGAUCAUAUAUAUACAUGAAUUAAUUCUUUGUUGAAAAACAUAUGUGAGUACUAGUUUUCAUGUUUACAUCAAUCUUCUCACAUAUACCUAGUAUAGGGAGUGUAGUCAGAGAUUCUUGUGUGAAAAUAAGAGUGUAUCUAGUAAGGAAUUGAGGAAAUUCUCUAAGGCAUGUUACUAUAUUCAAAAUGCUGUUUUAAUCGAUUAAAUAUGAGCUAGUGAAUGGUGACUAUGAUUAAGUAUGCCCGAGGGUAAGGAAUGCUUAAUUGUAUGUAAGUGGUGAUCUUUGACAUGUCAUGUUUCAUUGAAAAUCCCUGAGCCAAAUGUUGGAAGGUUAGGUUAUGUUUUGUUUGUUUUGUUUGUUUUGUUUCGUUUUGUUUCUUUUGUUUUGCUCAAGGACUAGCAAAAGCUAAGUGUGGGGGAAUUUGAUAGGAGCAUAUUUAUGCGACUUAGUUAAUUAUGUAUUUUAAGCUAUUUUCGUGUGUUUGUAGGUCAUAAUAACAAAGUUGGCAAGAAAGUGCAUUUGAAGCAUUUUAGAACAUUUUUGAGCCAAAAUUGGAUAGUGCAAGCAUGGAGACAUGAGGAUGGACGUUUUUGAAGAUUUGAAGGCUAGAAAUCGGCAUGUGUGUGUGCAAGUGUGUUGACCUACAACUCCAAACAUCCAUCCACUACACCCAUUACAUCCACUCAUUACCAAACACUCAACCACUACACCGAUUACAUCCACUCAUUACCAAACAUCCACCCACUACACCCAUUACAUCCACUCAUUGCCAAACACUCAUUCACUACACCCAUUACUUCCACUCAUUACCAAACAUCGACCUACUACACCCAUUACAUCCACUCAUUAUCACAACACUCACCCACUACACCCAUUACAUCCACUCAUUAUAACUCCAUACACUCCUCUCCCUAGCCUAUAAAUACAUCCACCCUUCACCAUAAUUUGGGGGCCAUCAUCCAAAGACACUACAUUUCACAUCUAUUAACUUCAUUCACAAACACAAUUUCCUUGGCGUGACCUCCAUCCAUUCAUCUAGCCGUACUACAUCUCACCAAUCCAUACACUUUCAUCUCUUAGCCGUGCAAAUCCAUUCCAUCCAUAUAUCCAUACACAUCCUAGACACUUGUGCUACAACAAGGUGGUGAAAACAAAGGUCUUUGGCGUUUCAAGCUUGGAACUUUGGAGCAUUUUAGGUGUACUUCGUUCUUGCUUUCAAUGUCUACUUUGUUAUUUUCUAAUUUUGUUGCAAUUAUGAGUGGCUAAACCCCUAUUUAGUUUGGGGGAAGUUUGAAGCCAUGAACAUGCUUGAGAUAUGAAUUGAUUUCUUCCAAUUGUGAUUUGAUAAGUUGUUAUUGCAAUUCAAUUAUCUAUUUAUUCAUAACUGAUUCUUGUAUGUUUAUUAAGGAUGCAUACUUAGUUUUCAUGCAUGAAUAAGAUGCUAGAAUAUAAAUGAGUUUCACCUAAUCGUUACAAGUUUAUAUUCAUGAGUAGUGAAGGUUGUUUAUCACAAUCGCGUUAAUUGAAUUCUUGGCAAAUGUAUCAUGCAUUCAUAGUUAUAAUUGCCUCGUCAACACUUAGGAUUUUCAUUGAACGUAAUGAUCUCUGAUUGUAUCUCUAUUAUGCAUUCAUAUAGGGGACUUUUAGAGAAUGAUUUGGGUUGUCGCAUGCAUUCAUCCAAUUCAAUGAGUAAAGGAAAAUCUGAGGGUUAAUUUGUGCAUCACGGUUAAUCUGGGGUGUUGAGCAUCAUAGUUUAUUGAAAAGCAAUUGGAAAUCGAUUCAUGUAAAAGUGUGUCAUGUGUGAAGAAAAGGCCCUUUAACUAAUCCAUCCAUCAUCGUAUUCCUCAAAUUUGUCUUACAAUCUGCCUAGUUUUAUAACUUGUUUGUUUGUUUCAAAUUCAUCAAAACCAAAAUCCCCAUUUUACUUUCUUGUUUCAAAGUGUUAAAUUUCAGUUUUGUUUGUGUUUUUGAGUGUUUUGAUUCAAACCAAAACACUAAAUUCGUCCAAAAUUGUGUUAGAGUCAAAUCUGCCCAGUUUGUGUUUUUAGGCAGUUUUGAGUCCCUUGAGUAUAGUCAAACGUUUUUAACUUUGUUUUUAUGUUUUUGAGUAAGUUUAGAGGUUUUAGCAAGCCUUCCUAAUCCCCAAUUUAGAACGAUCUCUACUUGCAUUUAUAUUACAAUUUGACAAAAAGAGGGUUUAAUUUGUGUGUUAAGUUAUUUACGCACCAACAACUUUUAUCAUUGGAGGGUUGAGUCGGUGUUAAGCCUCUCAAACUGGUUUAGCCCCCUCCUCUAGAAGUAUGCGAUGCAUGCAUGUUGUAGGACUUAUCCCCUUAAUAUCGGCCAAGGUCCAUCCAAUGGCUGUUUUGUAUUCCUUCAACACCCUUACCAAUUUUUCCUCCUCUUCUGCCGUGAGUAUGGAAGAGACUUUGAGCGGCAAAGUCUCUUGGUCACCUAAAAAAAUGUACUUCAAAUGAUUUGGUAAAGGUUUAAGCUCGAGGGAGGGUGCCUGAAUUUGAGUUUGGACGCUUACCAACAUGUUGUUGCAAUGAUUCAAGGGCAGCCACCAUCUCGGCCACUUCUUCACAAAGAGGCACGGCAAAGGCAUCCUCAUUCUUGCCGGUGCACAAUUUCAGCCCCUUGAUUUUUUAGUCUUAAGCCCUUUGCAAUGGUAUUUUCUAGGGCAUCCCCAUUUAGGUCUUGAAGAGCCAACGAAUCAAGUAUAUCAAUAGAAAAACAAGAGUAAUCAUCAAUAGGAUACCUUAUGGCUUCGGAAAUAUUGAAAUCAAUAAUGUCGCCUGAUAGGAACAUAUUUAUGUGACUUAGUUAGCUUGUUCUUGUGCAUUUGGGUUGAGUCUAUUCAAACGUUUUUAACUUUGUUUUUAUAUUUUUGAGUAAGUUUAGAGGUUUUAGCAAGCCCUCCUAAUCCCCGGUUUAGAACGAUCCCUACUUGCAUUUAUAUUACAAUUUGACAAAAAGAGGGCUUAAUUUUAGUGCUUAACUUUCAUCGCAUCAAAUUUUGGGCGCCGUUGCCGAGGAUUAGCAACUUUGCUAAUCCCCCGUUGUUUCUUUUUCAUGUCUUUUGGUUUAGUUACUGACUUUGUUUCUAUUUUUGUCUUUUAUUUUUUCUUAUGAUAUUUGAUUUAGUUUUGUUUCCUUGAUUUCAGGUACUAGAGAAGUAAGACAUGGAUUUUGCUACCAUUCAAGCUCAAUUGGCGAAACAUACUUAUCAAUUGUCACAAUAUGCUGAAAGGACCACAAUGCAAAGUGUCCUUACAUAUGGUAUGUCCUAUAGGCAAGGAUAUCCAACUCAUCAAUGUUCUCAAUUCGCUACGAAUAAAGAUGCUUGGGGUUAUCAAGGCCAUAGCCAAUCAGGGGAUAACAUGUUUUCCAACACUUACAAUUCGGAUUGGAGAGAUUAUUCAGAUUACAUGUGGGGAAAACCUCAACAAUUCCAACAAGAUGGGUAUUGGCAGCAAGAAGAGGAGUUCUAUUCAAGACCUAUGCAGCCACCACAACAAUCUGCCCAAUUAAAUUUAGGUACGUCUUUGGAUAAUGAUAUGUUUAAUAAGUUACUCACCUCUUUGAACCAGGAAGUAGAAAAUGGAAACAAAGAGAUGCAAAAUCAAGCCAAGAAGACGGGAGAAUUGGAGAAGCAAAUUGGGCAGAUUAUGGAGUUCAUGGGACAAAUUCAAGGGCAAAGUGAACUCUCCAACUAACUAUUGAAAAUUUGAAGGAAGAUUUUGAAAUCCAUGAUGCUGUUACUUUGGGAAGUGCUAUGGAGGUUGGGGGUGAACCGAAGACAUCCAAACCAAGCCAAAACAUGGAUGAACAGCUGCUGCUCGAAGAAGAGGAGAAUAACAAGGCCACGGCAAGGGAAGAACCACCCUUGCCGUGGCCCUAUAUGCCCUCUAUGCCGUCCACUACAACCAAGGUAAGCCUAAAUUCAAUUUGUCCCGACCCCGUUUCACCAAAUGUCUUUAUUCCUUACAGGAUCAUGCAAUCUAAGGAAGAAGAGGGUGAGAAAGGCAUCUUCAAAACCUUUCCAAAGACUCAAGAGCAAGAAGUGGAUGGGGAAUGUCUAGAAUUCAUCAAUGAAGUUGGAUUUUAUGACACGGGACAAGUCAUAACUCUCAAAACGCCAAAUCUGACCAAGUCCCAUAUCCCUACAACCUUCAAAGAUGUGGUGUUCGUAAUUGAGUUUGUGUUGGAGCAAGCAAAUAAUCAUCUUCUCCAACUUCGAUUUUAUUAUAUACUAACUUGCUGAUUUUGAUGAUUCAGGCACCUACACUAAAUUUAAACCAUUACCGGAUCACGUCAAGUAUCACCGUCCAUUCAAGGAUCAAUUCCAUGCUAUGGGCCCUAUCCAAGUUUAGAAGGAAGUUUCGUCCGGCUGGAAGACGUAAAAGCAAGCGCUUCUUGGGAGGCAACCCAUGUAUUCAAAUAAGGAAGAUUUUUGAAUCGCUCCACAAUCAGUUUUGCGUUUCUAAAAACCAUCCAUUUUCCGCAGUUUUAUUUUGCCAUGAUUAUCAUUUUUAUUUAUUGCUUGUUUAAUUGUUUUUGGUGUGGGUUUAUUUUUGAAACACUGACAGUUAUGCAAGGUAUUUUUACAUUCAUAAAAAAGAAAGGAACAUUAAGCUGAUAAAUACAAGAGGGAGCCUUCACAAAGGCUGCUUAGGAGAAGUCUCAGUAGUCGGCGGAGCCUCAACAGUCGGUGGAGUCCCAGAAGGAGAAGGCAUCGGAGGUUGAUCAUUUGGAGCUUCAUUACGCGGUACAGCCCUAGAAGACGAAGGCAAAUGUUGUUGGAACAAAUCCACAAAUCUCUGAUGAUCAAGUAAAAUCUGACCAUCAGAUUCCUGCAUCUGGUCAAUCUUCCUCUUCAUGUUUAUAACAUAGUUAUGUGCGAGCCUGUGCAACUGUUUAUUCUCAUGCUUAAGCGCUCUAAUCUCCUGCUUGAGACUCAUCACUUUAGCCGCCAAUGAUUCAACUUGACGGGUUCAGGCAAAUAGGCGUUGGGCCAUAUUAGACACGGAACCUGUGCACUGCACACUGAGAGCCAGAGAAUCCUUAAUAGCCAACUCAUCAGACCGUUUGGCAAAUAGUCUGUUAUCUUUGGGAGUGACAAGGUUCCUGGCCACCACCGCAGCUGUCAUAUCAUUCUUCAUUACCAAAUUCCUAACGGUAAGGGAACCAGUAGGGGAUAUGAAGGAUGGGCGUCAUAUGUUGUGUGGAAAAGGCGGGACUGCCUCUUCACCAAGGUUCAAGUCAAAACGACGGUCGGAGGGGCCAGUCGUUUUCAGAGGUGUUAAAGAAAGAAGAGGUCGGACAAGUCAAGAUCGUAGAAGUGCAAGAAGGGAGUUUCUACAAGCAGAAAUUCAAGUGUGCUUUGAACGUCCUGCGUACCUCUAUAAAAAUCAGCACUCGAUGGGAUUUCAGAGAUCGAAGAGGCGAGCUCAGAAAUCGAAUAGGCCAACUCAAAAAUUAAAGAGGCGCUAGCUUUCUCAAAAGCUGGGCUUGCUCAGAAACCACGGCCAAUCUUCUUUUCCAGAUUUAUCCGCACUUGUCACAUGCAACCUCUGCACUCGACGGGAUUUCAGAGAUCGAAGAGGCAAUUCCAGAUAUCGGAGAGGCAUUUACUUUUCCAGAUGUGUCAGCAUCUGUCACGUGUAGAGUAAGCUUUGCAGAAAUAAUGGGCAGUUUGUUGAAAAAUGUUUUUUAGACGUGUCAACAUCUGUCACAUGCAGAGUCAGCUUUGCAGAAAUCACGGGUAGUUUGUCGAAGUGCCGAUUCCAGAUAUCAAAGAGGCACUUGUUUUUCCAGACGUGUCAGCGCCUGUCACAUGCACACUCAACCUUAUGGAAAUUACAGGCAAUCUGUCAAAAAUCUCUUGUGAAGUAGAAAACAAGUGGAGUUUACUAUUAAAUCAUCCAACGGUUGCUGACAAGAGUGAAAGAAUAGUACCGGUUAUUAAUUCCUAUAAAUGUCACCCUUCACCCUCAAUUGCAAGGCAGACAUUCAUAGCCCUUCUUCUUCUCCGAGAAUGCCUUUCCAAAAAAACCCUUUCGAGUCACUCAGUGUUCCUUAUUCCUUAGGGUACCUCUGCAAACAACUCAUCCAAAGCAAAAGUAUUUCAUAUCAUGAAGGUUGAAAGCAAGAAUAUCUCAUAUCAUGCUUUCUCCCUGUCAUUCUCCUUGUCGUUGUUUUGGGACAAGGAGAAAGAGAGCAAUCAACCAGCACUUGGUAUCAAUCUUCCGAUCUGGAACCGACUGCCUGGAACCCCUUCCUGUUUGCUUACCUAGCCUUGCUUUCGAGUACUCAUCUUCAUCAUUUUAUGCUUCCUCUUUGUCUACCACAUCUGCCUGGGGAACAGAUAAGGGAAGUGAAAAUGAUACCUCGAAGCAUGUGGAGACAAUUUGCCAAUUCAUCCUUAGCUAGGGACAAGGAGAAAGAAUGCAAGAGGUGGGCACUUGGAAAGAUUGAAGAAAGAAACAGACCAACACCUCUACCUCAUGCCUGCCUGCCGUGCAGAAGAAACAAGCAGAGAAGAAUGCAGACUGCACAAUCAAAUCAACCUAGCAGAAGGAGUCUGAAUUGAAACCAAGGAACUCUCAUAUUCCUCGCUCAAAAUUCUAAACCAGUUCGAGAUCAAAGAUGUGGAAAGACAACAAGAUCAUCUAUCUCCAAAACCAGAUUUACGUUCUUAAACUCUACUAUGUCUGGUUUUUACUUUGCCAUACUUGUCAUGUUUAUUCGUUGUUUGUUUGUUUGCUUGUUUUUUGUGUGAGUUUAUGCUUGAAACAUUGAGGACAAUGUUUGAUUUAAGUGUGGGGGGGUAACCAAGUUGUUUUGCAUGAAAUUCGUAGGAGUUUAUCACCCAUUACUUCUAGUGUUGUUCCUUGAUAUUUUUAAGUGUUUUAAUGUGGUUUGACAUAAAAAUCCGAAAAUCUCAUAAAAAUUUGAAAAAUUGUUUUGAAAAACCCAAAAAGAGUUGUUUUUGUAUGUUUAUUUGUGUCUUAGGGUACCUUCCAACACAAUGAUGAGGAUUUGGUUUUUAAUUACAUGACUGUUAAAAAGAGUUAUAAACAUGGAUGAAAAUUUGAUUUACUCUUUGGUGUAUGCUUGGUUGUGGUUAUAAUUUAUGAAUUCACAUGCAAUCAUAAAGGAAAAAUCAGUUUUGUAACAUGCUUGAAAGAAGGAACUCAAAUGUACGCUACAACCUUGUUAGACUUGAGCCUAAACGUUUAUUUGGAGAGUUAAUAAUCUGCGCAUCAUUGUUUUCUAAAGUCGUUGCAUGAUCUCAUUAUUCUUUGCUUGGUUGCUACUUAGAAGGCAUUUCAUCAUUUAGUUCCGAAUGCUAGAACUCAUGCCUAUUUCAUUCAAAGCAUACUAUUGGUUUGCAUAACACAUUUUCAAGAUGAUGUUGUGUAGUGACCACCAAAGCCAAAUUGCCGUGCCCCUAUUUCAUUAUGUGUUUAAGUUUAACCCCGUUGAGCCUUGUUAAGCCUAUGUUCUUUGUUAAACCACACUAUCCUUACCUAGCCUAGUUUUAGGACCAUCCAUACCCUUGUUCUUGAAGCAUAGUAAAGCAUGACUUAAAAUGAACUCCUUUUUUAUCAAUGUAUUGCAGAAAGCAAGUGUGGGGGAAGUGAUUCUUGUGUGUGUGUGUGUGCCAAAGUCCUUAAUAAGGCACGGGUAGAAAAGAAAUAAAAAAGAGUGAAAAGAAAAAAAGUUUGUUAAAAAAGGGUCCAAAACAUUGAAUUCAGCCCUAAGUGUUGCAUGAAUCUUCCCUUUGUAUUUAAAAGUUGAUUAUGCAUUCUAAAGUGAAUUCCAAGUGUCUAUUUCAUUGCUUUGCUUGUUAUCGCUUUAAGAACGUUUGUUAUUCCUAUCCUUUCUUUAUUAGCCAUUACCCCCAAGCCCUGUUACAACCCUUGACUUCAAUCUUGAGUGUUGUGUGUUUCAAUUUGUGGAGUUUGAAAUUGAUAUGAGCAUAUGGUGUCACUGGUUCUCGCAUCUAAGUAGUAGCAUUCCAUUCAUGAGAUCAUAUAUAUACAUGAAUUAAUAAUUCCAGAAAUUGCUUCUUUGUUGAAAAACAUAUGUGAGUACUAGUUUUCAUGUUGACAUCAAUCCUCUCACAUAUACCUAGUAUAGGGAGUGUAGUCAGAAAUUCUUGUGUGAAAAUAAGAGUGUAUCUAGUAAGGAAUUGAGGAAAUUCUCUA